rnacentral:rRNA from 1 species
GCUCGGUGCAAAACUGCUGCCGAUAGCUCACCCUGAAAGAAAAGGCAGCGGCGGCUGCGAUUCUGGAUAGGAGCGGCGGCGCGGUUGAGCAAAGGCGUCGGCGCUCGUGCUAGCACGAGCGAGUCGACGACAGUAAAAAGCAGCGGCGUCAUGGGCGAUUUUACCUUGGUCACGACUAGGGGAUUUUAUAGGUGCUCGGGCACCUCGGCGUCCGUGAGGUCGAGGCCGCGUGGCGCGUACGCCUGCCAUGGGGGCUAUCCUCGAUUCGGCAUGGCUCCAGCUCGCUCUUCGCCCCAAAGAAGCCCGGCGUCACCGGAGGGAUGCCUGCAAAAAAUUGGACGAGGUACUGACGUGGAAAUAUUUGGUUUAAAGAUUGCCAACUACAGAAUGCACAGGGCAUUCAAUUUUGAGUGUUUUGCUUCCAGCGGGGGUGGAUUUGGGACUGAUUUUACAAAUAAGAAAAGAAUUAAAAGCAGGAAGAGGGCAAAGGAUGUUGUGCAGGACCCAAGCAAGGUAGCAUCUGCAGACUCAAAGAACCAGGAACAGUGGGCACCAGAGUUAGGAAUUGGAAGAGAAAACAAAUCUGGUAAAACGGUCAUGGAUAAGAAAUUUCUGGAAAAAGUUGAAGCCGUUCGAAGGUCUGCACUUGAUAAAAAGAAAGUUGAAGAGACCAAAAAUUAUCAAGCUAUUGAUUAUGAUGCUCCAAUUGAAUCAGAUAAGAGCACACUUGGCUUUGGUACAAGGGUUGGAAUUGGCAUAGCUGUUGUGGUUUUUGGACUAGUCUUCACUUUUGGGGAUUUCCUCCCUUCUGGAAGUGUUAGCCCUAGCAAUGAAAGCACUGUGGUUAACAAACAGCUUUCAGAGGANNNNNNNNNNNNNNNNNAGAGGGCACUUGAAGGGUACGAAGAAACACUGACGAAGUCGCCUAACGAUCCUACCGCUCUUGAGGGUGCAGCAGUAUCGUUGGUUGAACUAGGUGAAUAUCAGAAGGCCUCAGAUCUACUUGAGAAGCUAGUUAAGGUAAUCCCCGACAAAGCAGAAGCAUACCGCUUGUUAGGUGAAGUAAAGUUUGAGCUCAAGGAUUAUGAUGGGAGUUCUUCAUCAUACAGGAACUCUCUAUCUUCAUCUGACAGCAUUGAUUUUGACGUUCUCCGUGGGCUGACAAAUUCAUUAGUUGCUGCUAAGAAGCCCGAUCAGGCAGUCGAAGUAAUUCUAUCUUGCCGUCGCAAGUUGAGUGAAAAGCGUCAAACCAGGCAACCUGAUUUGGAGGCUGCAAAUGAGAAUGGUGCUCAGGAGUCUCGAGAUAUUGAUCCUAUCCAAGUUGACCUGCUUCUCGGAAAGGCCUAUUCUGAUUGGGGCCAUAUCAGUGAUGCUGUUACUGUUUAUGAUAACUUAAUCGCUGAACAUCCUGAAGACUUCCGUGGUUAUUUGGCGAAGGGAGCUAUACUGAAGCAAAAUGGUAAGGCAGGUGAUGCAGAAAGAAUGUUUAUUCAGGCCAAAUUCUUCGCCCCAGAGGCAGCAAAGGCACUUGUUGAUAUUUAUGCACAGAGAUAGUCCACGAGAGGUAAAGGAGGAAAAAACUUCCGUUUGAGGUGGACUUAAGCUGUCGUGGACUGUUAGCACUCAGUAGGACAUUACAGGCGAGGGCAGCAGUCCAUGCUAAGCUUGUAGAAGAUCAAGCAGACCAAAUGAAGGCAGGGAAAAUCAAUAGAAGAGCAAGAGUUCAAAGGGAAGGAAAAGAGUUUGAAAAGGUUUUGGACAAAGUCUUAUAGGACACACAAUUCAAUUCGUUAAGUCGAAAGUUCAGUUUGUCGCUGCUAUUCUGAUAAUGUUCUAAAAGGACAAAAGUUGCGAAAUAGUGGUUACUCUGCUUGAGAAAUACUCCCUUCCAUCAAGUAUGAUGUCCCAUUGAAACACCGAUAUGUAAAAAGGGUUCAACCUAUUGAGGUUUCCGUAAUUCGCCACCGCUGAAGGUAUCCUAUGUCCAAGUAAAUUGGGUACCUAAAAACUACUCUCACCCCUGAAGCCACAUAAGAUUAACUGAUUAACUGGGUUUGCAAGGAGAACCGGGAAUUGAAGAGCUCCCACAACUACACGGAUAUACCGGCAUAGUAUAAUCCAAUCGCGGGCUUUCAUUUUCUGAUUCCCUUUUUCAUUCUUAACCUGGUUGACUAACUCACUUGCAAUGUUGUACUCGUAUUAGGCAAUCAGUCUUCAUUAGAAGACAGAUUGUUGGUGACACAUUUUUCAUAGCUUGGUUGUCAUUGUUUCAGCUCGUUUGUAUGGUAUGGAAGUAAAGCAAAUCAUGUUUUUGCGGUAUUGCUAGAAGGAAAAGGAAAACAGGGCAGGGCCGCAGGACCCCGCUUCGUUUCCAAGUAUGGUCAGAGACAUUUGGCUCUCGAGGCCACGUGAUACCUUUUUUCAGACAAUUCAAAACCAAGUUUAUUUAGAAGUUGCAAAAAAAUACGUACAAAAAGUAUGUGUGUUUGGCUCUGGAGGUCACAUUUUUGCAUAGCUUAUCUAAAAAACGGCUCAACUCCAAAGCAAACAUUAUUCACAAUCACAUCUCCUACAAUAACGAC